CCCAGGACCAAGAGAGGGAAUAAUGCUAUUUUCGUCGUGGUCGAUCGUCUUUUCAAAGUAGCCCAUUUCUUACCUGUUCGUGAGAGUAUAACCGCUAGUCAGCUGGCAGACUUAUACAUCUCCCGAAUAGUGUCCCUCCAUGGUGUUCCUUUGGAAAUUAACUCGGAUCGAGGAAGUCUUUUCACCUCUCGAUUUUGGGAAAGUUUCCAAAAUGCUAUGGGAACCCGUCUCUCCUUUAGCACCGCUUUCCACCCUCAGUCAAGUGGUCAAGUGGAACGCGUCAACCAAAUUCUAGAAGACAUGCUUCGAGCUUCUGUUAUCUCAUUCGGAAUGGACUGGGAGAAGUGCCUUCCAUUUGCCGAAUUCGCUUACAACAACAGCUAUCAAUCUAGCUUGGGUAAAGCCCCUUUUGAAGUUCUCUAUGGACGACGAUGUCGAACACCCCUUAACUGGUCAGAGACCGGGGAAAGACAAUUCUUUGGCCCGGAUAUGAUUCAGAAAGCAGAAGAACAAGUUCGUAUCGUUCGUGAAAAGUUGAAAACAGCCCAAUCCCGUCAAAAAAGUCAAUAUGACCGAAAGCAUAAGGCUAUGACUUUCGAGGUUGACGAGAAGGCUUAUCUUCGGAUCACCCCUCUGAAGGGAACCCAUCGUUUCGGUAUCAAAGGCAAAUUGGCUCCUCGUUACAUUGGACCUUUUCGCAUUCUCGCCAAACAAGGAGAAGUUGCCUACCAGUUGGAACUACCUCCGCAUCUCUCCAGAGUCCACGAUGUCUUCCACGUUUCUCAACUCAGGCGUUGCUUCUCGGAUCCUAUCCGUGAAGUGGAC
rnacentral:rRNA from 1 species